AGGUUUCUUUGAGAGAGAUUUGGUAAAAUUAGCAAUGAAUAUGCUAGCUCAGUAUCCCAACGCUACUUUUCUAGAUGUUGGAGCGAAUAUUGGUAUGUUCAGUGUCACAGCUGCAGCAUUAAAUCACAGAGUAUUAGCAGUUGACCCAUUUAAAACAAAUCUAGCGUUCAUCAG